rnacentral:rRNA from 1 species
AAGGAAUAUUGGUCAAUGGACGCAAGUCUGAACCAGCCAUGCCGCGUGAAGGAUUAAGGCCCUCUGGGUUGUAAACUUCUUUUAUAUGGGACGAAAUGUGCCGACUCUUCGGCACUUGACGGUACCAUAGGAAUAAGCACCGGCUAACUCCGUGCCAGCAGCCGCGGUAAUACGGAGGGUGCAAGCGUUAUCCGGAGUCACUGGGUUUAAAGGGUGCGUAGGCGGGCAGGUAAGUCAGUGGUGAAAUCUUCCGGCUUAACCGGAAAACUGCCGUUGAUACCAUUUGUCUUGAAUAUUGCGGAGGUAAGCGGAAUAUGUCAUGUAGCGGUGAAAUGCAUAGAUAUGACAUGGAACACCAAUUGCGAAGGCAGCUUACUACACAAUGAUUGACGCUGAUGCACGAUAGCGUGGGGAGCGAACA